rnacentral:tRNA from 1 species
GGCAGGGCCGGGCUACCUGGGCCUCAUAAGCCCCGGGACGCGGGUUCGACUCCCGCACCUGCCA